UGCCAAUAGGAUAUGUGAGACCCAA
rnacentral:piRNA from 1 species